AAGUCGUAACAAGGUUUCCGUAGGUGAACCUGCGGAAGGAUCAUUAACACGUAUCCAAACGUUAAACCCCCCUGUGAACCUUCAGUCGUACUCGUACGUCCGUUAGAAAAAGCAGCAAUCCCUGGUAAAUCAUCGCCGAACAGUUUUCGAUUCAGGGACGUCUGCAAGGAGCGUGCAUGUUGUGCGUGUAAGUGGCCUGGCAUCCCCAAGCAGUUAGUGUCUGAAAGUGUCACUAACGUUAGUGUCUGAAAGUGUCACUAACAUGUGUAAGGAUGACGCAGUCACGAUCGUUGGAGGCCCAACACGGCCGACGACCGGGGGUAUCACACCCCUGCUCUAUCUAACUGCGGUCGAACGCCGAAACCGAACAACUGUUAACAAUGGAUAUCUUGGUUCUC
rnacentral:misc_RNA from 1 species